UGGGGAAUUUUGGACAAUGGGCGCAAGCCUGAUCCAGCAAUGCCGCGUGCAGGAUGAAGGCCUUCGGGUUGUAAACUGCUUUUGUACGGAACGAAACGGUCUUUUCUAAUACAGAAGGCUAAUGACGGUACCGUAAGAAUAAGCACCGGCUAACUACGUGCCAGCAGCCGCGGUAAUACGUAGGGUGCAAGCGUUAAUCGGAAUUACUGGGCGUAAAGCGUGCGCAGGCGGUUGUGUAAGACAGAUGUGAAAUCCCCGGGCUCAACCUGGGAACUGCAUUUGUGACUGCACAGCUGGAGUGCGGCAGAGGGGGAUGGAAUUCCGCGUGUAGCAGUGAAAUGCGUAGAUAUGCGGAGGAACACCGAUGGCGAAGGCAAUCCCCUGGGCCUGCACUGACGCUCAUGCACGAAAGCGUGGGGAGCAAACA
rnacentral:rRNA from 1 species